rnacentral:rRNA from 1 species
UACGUAGGGGGCUAGCGUUGUCCGGAAUCAUUGGGCGUAAAGCGCGUGUAGGCGGUCCGGUAAGUCCGCUGUGAAAGUCGGGGGCUCAACCCUCGAAUGCCGGUGGAUACUGUCGGGCUAGAGUACGGAAGAGGCGAGUGGAAUUCCUGGUGUAGCGGUGAAAUGCGCAGGAUAUCAGGAGGAACACCAAUUGCGAAGGCAGCUCGCUGGGACGUUACUGACGCUGAGGAGCGAAGCGUGGGGAGCGAACAGG